GAGGCGGUGGAGGAUUGGGAGGCGGCAAUGGCGGCGGCGGAGGUCUCGGAGGCGGCCAUGGUGGCGGCGACGGAUUAGGAGGCGGUGGCGGCUUUGGCGGCAGCAACGGUGGUGGCGGUGGCGGCUUUGGCGGCAGCAACGGUGGUGGCGGUGGCCACGGAGGCGGCGGUUCCGGUGGAUUCGGAGGCGGAAACGGCGGUGGACAAGGAGGCGGUGGAAAUGGGGGCAGCGGCGGCUUCGGCGGUGCCGGUGCUAAGGCUAGCGCCAGUGCUAGUGCCAGCUCCAGCGCUGGUGGCGGCGGCGGAUACAAGAGCGGAUACGGCCGUUAAGAUCCCAGCUUCAGGGCAGAGAUUCAAGAACCCCAAUGUGAUACUUUAGAUAUAUUUUUGCCAUAACUUUAUUGUAGAUAUAUAUAAAAUAUACGGUAUGUUUUUGUAAUAA